GACGAACGCUGGCGGCGUGCUUAACACAUGCAAGUCGAACGGAAAGGCCCUGCUUUUGUGGGGUGCUCGAUUGGCGAACGGGUGAGUAACACGUGAGUAACCUGCCCUUGACUUUGGGAUAACUUCAGGAAACUGGGGCUAAUACCGGAUAGGAGCUCCUGCUGCAUGGUGGGGGUUGGAAAGUUUCGGCGGUUGGGGAUGGACUCGCGGCUUAUCAGCUUGUUUGUGGGGUAGUGGCUUACCAAGGCUUUGACGGGUAGCCGGCCUGAGAGGGUGACCGGCCACAUUGGGACUGAGAUACGGCCCAGACUCCUACGGGAGGCAGCAGUGGGGAAUAUUGCACAAUGGGCGGAAGCCUGAUGCAGAAACGCCGCGUGCGGGAUGACGGCCUUCGGGUUGUAAACCGCUUUCGACUGUGACGAAGCGUGAGUGACGGUAAUGGGUAAAGAAGCAACGGCUAACUACGUG
rnacentral:rRNA from 1 species